rnacentral:misc_RNA from 1 species
GAUGAGAACGUAGCGAAAUGCGAUAAGUAAUGUGAAUUGCAGAAUUCAGUGAAUCAUCGAAUCUUUGAACGCACCUUGCGCCUUUUGGUAUUCCGAAAGGCACACCUGUUUGAGCGUCAUGAAUACCUCAAUCUCCAUCUUUUCUUCGGAUUGAUGGGUGACUUGGAUGUUGAGCCCUGCUGGUAUGCUAUAUCAGCUGGCUUUAAACUUAUUAGCCGGCUCUGUACUGGAUCGGUUUGACUCGACGUGAUAAUAUUACCGUUGAGGAUGCAUGUCUCAUGCAGCCGGAAAGUAUCAAAGCAGCUUCUAGCUUGCCUUUAGUGCACUUUUACAUUUUAGACCUCAGAUCAGGUGGGACUACCCGCUGAACUUAAGCAUAUCAAUAAGCGGAGGA